AUACGUAGGUGGCGAGCGUUGUCCGGAAUUACUGGGUGUAAAGGGAGCGCAGGCGGGAAUGCAAGUUGGAUGUGAAAUACCGAGGCUUAACCGCGGGGGUGCAUCCAAAACUGUAUUUCUUGAGUGAAGUAGAGGUAGGCGGAAUUCCGAGUGUAGCGGUGGAAUGCGUAGAUAUUCGGAGGAACACCAGUGGCGAAGGCGGCCUACUGGGCUUUAACUGACGCUGAGGCUCGAAAGUGUGGGGAGCAAACAGGAUUAGAUACCCUGGUAGUCCACACUGUAAACGAUGAUUACUAGGUGUGGGGGGUCUGACCCCUUCUGUGCCGUAGUUAACGCAAUAAGUAAUCCACCUGGGGAGUACGAUCGCAAGGUUGAAACUCAAAUGAAUUGACGGGG
rnacentral:rRNA from 1 species